rnacentral:rRNA from 1 species
GAUGAACGCUGGCGGCGUGCCUAAUACAUGCAAGUCGAGCGAACAGACGAGGAGCUUGCUCCUCUGACGUUAGCGGCGGACGGGUGAGUAACACGUGGAUAACCUACCUAUAAGACUGGGAUAACUUCGGGAAACCGGAGCUAAUACCGGAUAAUAUAUUGAACCGCAUGGUUCAAUAGUGAAAGACGGUUUUGCUGUCACUUCUAGAUGGAUCCGCGCCGCAUUAGCUAGUUGGUAAGGUAACGGCUUACCAAGGCGACGAUGCGUAGACGACGUGAGAGAGGGAUCGGCCACACGAGAGCUGAGACACGGUCCAGACUCCUGCGAGAGGCAGCAGUAGGGAAUCGGACGCAAUGGGCGAAAGUCUGACGGAGCAGCGGCGCGUGAGUGAUGAAGGUCUUCGGAGCGUAAAACUCUGUUAUUAGGGAAGAACAAAUGUGUAAGUAACUAUGCACGUCUUGACGGUACCUAAUCAGAAAGCCACGGCUAACUACGUG